AGGACGAACGCUGGCGGCGUGCUCAACACAUGCAAGUCAAGGGGGCCCAGCAAUGGGCAACCGGCGAACGGGUGCGUAACACGUGAGCAACCUACCGAACUGUGGGGGAUAGCCGGCCUAACGGCCGAGUAAUACCGCAUACGCUCUCAGAGAGGCAUUUCUUUGAGAGGAAACCUACGGGACAGAUCGAGGGGCUCGCGGCCUAUCAGCUAGUUGGCGAGGUAACGGCUCACCAAGGCAACGACGGGUAGC
rnacentral:rRNA from 1 species